CUUUCUAGCAAUUCAAGACAUCUUUUUUUAACCAAAGUGAUAGUAAUUUAGUUUUAAAAUAUUAUUAUAUCACAAAAUUGCUUUAUUCUAUACAACUCUAUACAACCUACGUUUUUAAAGAAUUAAAGAAUAAUAAUACAAAAUAAAUGAUAAAAUUUUAGUCUUACUGAUGUUUGAUUUUAUGUGUGGAGUGGAUUUUGCUGUUGAUUGUGAAGGCAAGUGUGAUUGUGCGAGAGUGAAUGGAAAUACGAGAGUGUUGCCUGCUGUGCUUGUGAGUAUUCCAAUGAGUGGCUGGAGCGAUUCUGGUAAACGCUGUCAUGCGAGAGGCGUAAGGCUCUGGACAUCUUCUCCCAGUAUUGAAAUGUCUUGUUAAUAUUGAGUAUCGAGAUUGAUCUAUAUAGGAUGCCAAUGUGUUGUUUUCCUCUUUGAUUGUGGAUAUUACAUAUGCAAUGUCCUGUUUUGUGAAAAGUUGUAGCAAUUAUUAUUGAAAAACAAAAUUACUUGACGGGAACAGCUUAAAAUACUUUUGUUUCCAAAAGAUUUUACGAUCGCAACUAAGUGGCUUGCAAUAUGCGAAAAACAAAACGUUAACAUUACAAAAGAUAUGAUAUAUUCAGAUAUAUUCUCAACACUUUGAUGCAUCAUGCUUUGUACAGCCAUCGAAAGAAAAGUCGCUUUUCUAUUCUCAGAAAAGACUGACAAAAUUGAAAGUAGAUGCAAUGUUACAUUUAAUGUUUGACCGCAAGUGGAAGCUGCUCAUUUUGAUAAAGAACCAUUGCCAUUAAUUGAUAAAUUAGAUAUGAAAGAAUCAACAUGCAAUGACAUCAACUUUUGAAUCACAAUGCAACGAUACAGUGCUAUCUGACACAUUUGGCAAUGAUAUACCUGUGCCAUAAGGAAUCCAGUCGAUUCAGAAUACUACCAUCUACAUUGCAGAUAAUUAAUCGAACCAUUGCUCUAGAAAAUAGAUAUAAAAA